rnacentral:snRNA from 1 species
GGACAUUGAACCUAACUUCU